rnacentral:rRNA from 1 species
CCUACGGGAGGCAGCAGUGGGGAAUAUUGGACAAUGGGGGGAACCCUGAUCCAGCCAUGCCGCGUGUGUGAAGAAGGCCCUCGGGUUGUAAAGCACUUUCAGUGAGGAAGAACGCCUGGUGGUUAAUACCCAUCAGGAAAGACAUCACUCACAGAAGAAGCACCGGCUAACUCCGUGCCAGCAGCCGCGGUAAUACGGAGGGUGCGAGCGUUAAUCGGAAUUACUGGGCGUAAAGCGCGCGUAGGUGGCUUGAUAAGCCGGUUGUGAAAGCCCCGGGCUCAACCUGGGAACGGCAUCCGGAACUGUCAAGCUAGAGCGCAGGAGAGGAAGGUAGAAUUCCCGGUGUAGCGGUGAAAUGCGUAGAGAUCGGGAGGAAUACCAGUGGCGAAGGCGGCCUUCUGGACUGACACUGACACUGAGGUGCGAAAGCGUGGGUAGCAAACAGGAUUAGAUACCCCUGUAGUC